rnacentral:rRNA from 1 species
AUUGAACGCUGGCGGCAGGCCUAACACAUGCACGUCGAACGGUAGCACAGAGAGCUUGCUCUCGGGUGACGAGUGGCGGACGGGUGAGUAAUGUCUGGGAAACUGCCUGAUGGAGGGGGAUAACUACUGGAAACGGUAGCUAAUACCGCAUAAUGUCGCAAGACCAAAGAGGGGGACCUUCGGGCCUCUUGUCAUCGGAUGUGCCCAGGUGGGAUUAGUUAGUAGGUGGGGUAAUGGCUCACCUAGGCGACGAUCCCUAGCUGGUCUGAGAGGAUGACCAGCCACACUGGAACUGAGACACGGUCCAGACUCCUACGGGAGGAAGCAGUGGGGAAUAUUGCACAAUGGGCGCAAGCCUGAUGCAGCCAUGCCGCGUGUAUGAAGAGGGACUUCGGGUUGUAAAGUACUUUCAGCGAGGAGGAAGGCGUUGUGGUUAAUAACCGCAGUGAUUGACGUUACUCGCAGAAGAAGCACCGGCUAACUCCGUGCCAGCAGCCGCAGUAA